CCAAACUUGGUCAUUUAGAGGAAGUAAAAGUCGUAACAAGGUCUCCGUAGGUGAACCUGCGGAGGGAUCAUUACCGAGCGAGGGCCCCCGCGCCCGACCUCCAACCCCUUUGAAGGUACCCACCCUGUUGCCUCGGGGGCGACCCGGCCUCUCGCGUCGGCGCCCCCGGUGGACCACACCACUCUGCGUCUUUGCGUCGGAGUCGGAGGGAGAAAUGUCAAUCAAAACUUUCAACAACGGAUCUCUUGGUUCUGGCAUCGAUGAAGAACGCAGC
rnacentral:misc_RNA from 1 species